rnacentral:rRNA from 1 species
AGAGUUUGAUCCUGGCUCAGAUUGAACGCUGGCGGCAUGCUUUACACAUGCAAGUCGAACGGCAGCGGGGGCUUCGGCCUGCCGGCGAGUGGCGAACGGGUGAGUAAUGCAUCGGAACGUGCCCAUGUCGUGGGGGAUAACGUAGCGAAAGCUACGCUAAUACCGCAUACGUCCUGAGGGAGAAAGCGGGGGAUCUUUGGACCUCGCGCGAUUGGAGCGGCCGAUGUCGGAUUAGCUAGUAGGUGGGGUAAAGGCCUACCAAGGCGACGAUCCGUAGCUGGUCUGAGAGGAUGAUCAGCCACACUGGGACUGAGACACGGCCCAGACUCCUACGGGAGGCAGCAGUGGGGAAUUUUGGACAAUGGGGGCAACCCUGAUCCAGCCAUUCCGCGUGAGUGAAGAAGGCCUUCGGGUUGUAAAGCUCUUUCGGCAGGAACGAAACGGUGGGUCCUAAUACGAUCUGCUAAUGACGGUACCUGAAGAAGAAGCACCGGCUAACUACGUGCCAGCCGCCGCGGUAAUAC